rnacentral:lncRNA from 1 species
GCUCUUCUCAGAGCUGGGAAACGAAACUAAAAUCUAGUCAUAAUUCAUUCUUCUCUUCACAUACCAGGCACACCCACUUUUUUUUUUCUUGGCCAACUAGAGCUAGCACCCAGGAGGAAGUAAAGGAUAUACAAGCUUGUAUUACAACAAAAAUAAAGAAAAAAUUUCUAACAUCACAGGAGGAAGAAAACACAAAGCAUCUGGUAUCUUGGGAUCAAGACAUCAGAUCUUCAAAAAAGGUUGUUUUUUCCCCUUUUUACAUAGAAGAAAUUUGAAAAUCUGGGAACGAGAAAUAUCUUUCCAGAGCUGCACUGUGGAGGCCAGUGACCUUCUUUCAGCCCGGGGAGCUUCACCACUCGAGGAGGUGGGUGCCUGCACACCAUCCGAGCCCUAAGAGAGUCUAAGAUCCUUGCUCCAAGUGGUUGGGGACCCACCUGGCUUGCAGCCACACUAGACUGAGUUUCGGGCCUGCCUGGACAUGCCUGGUGGCCUUUUUUCGAUCUGGGGAGCAUCAUUGCUGGAGGGGAGCCUGUCUGAGCCACGCCCAGUAACCUUCCUUUAAUCUGGGGCCCUUGCUGCCCAAGGAGAGAGCUACACUGCCAGAGGAGUCCCAGGAGC